UACAGAGGUCUCAAGCGUUGUUCGGAUUCAUUGGGCGUAAAGGGUGCGUAGGCGGCGCGGUAAGUCGGGUGUGAAAUCUCGGAACUUAACUCCGAAACUGCAUUCGAUACCGCCGCGCUUGAGGCUGGAAGAGGGAAGUGGAAUUGCCGGUGUAGUGGUGAAAUGCGUAGAGAUCGGCAGGAACACCAGUGGCGAAGGCGGCUUCCUGGUCCACGCCUGACGCUCAAAUGCGAAAGCUAGGGGAGCGAACGGG
rnacentral:rRNA from 1 species